rnacentral:lncRNA from 1 species
GCCAAUGUGCUAAACGGGUUGUUGAACGUGACUUUGGGUCAACCACCAGUUACCCCAUGCUGUUCCCUUCUCAAUGGUCUCGUUGAUCUUGAAGCUGCAGUGUGCCUUUGCACUGCCCUAAAAGCAAACAUUUUGGGCAUCAACCUCAACCUUCCAAUCUCACUCAGCUUACUUCUCAAUGUUUGCUCAAGGAACGCCCCACGUGAUUUCCAAUGUGCCUAAAUCAUGGCCUAUGCUAUGCACAAGUUGCUUCAAUACGUGUUUGCUAGCUAGUUCUGGCUUUCUGUUGUCUCUUUUAUUUUAUAAAUUUCAUUGCUCAUGAGUCAUGAUGCGAUUCUUGUACGUGCAUGGAUGGUUAACUUCUCGUUAUUCUGUCGCUUUAAUUGGUGUUUGUUUUUAUUUAACAAAGUGUCAAAUUAAAUAAAUUCCCGAUGCUUUCUUAUGCAAAAGCAAAAGGAAUCAAAGAUGAUACUAGUGUUAUUUAUUUGACAGAUAAAUGAUUAAUGUUGCGAACAAUUUUUAAUUUUUAUUUCUGUCUCUUUUCGUUUUGUCUUUUUGGUGAGCGAGAGCAUAGGCUGAUCAGGAAAUUAAUUUAUUUUUCCCUUUCUAACUUCUGUCCAAUGCCUGACUUGCUUGAGGAAAACAAAUUCAAGAAAAGAAUAAAAUCUAAAGCUAACAUGCACAGGCAUCAACGCUGUAAUCAGCCCGUGACUAUUGUACUAUAUCACAUCACGUGCAAGCACUAUUAAUUUUUUCAUUUUAAAAAAACGAAUAUAUAAUUAGCUAAUUAAACCGAACCAAAAUGAUUGGUUUACGGCUUUAGGCCAACUCGUUUAUUUGAAAUAUACAUUGAAUAUAUAAAUCAUUCGCUCUCAAUUUAAGAAAUGAAGCACAUGCAUCUUAGUUUUGUUACCGACCAGUUUAUUAGCCAUAGUAUAUUUGCUUGCACAAAUUCCAGAAUCCAGAGGUACAUUAAGUAAGAACUAAGAAGCAAUGAUUUCUUGCUUUUGGAGUUUUGGUCCAAUGCACGUUUCAUGAUGCAUAAAUGAACACACACACACUUAAGUUCAUCCCGUGUUAGGAGGAAAGAAGUUGGGGAUAUUAAAAUUAGGUAGAAUGGUUCAUAUAAUUUGCCAUUCAAAUGUACGAUUGCAAACCCAGGCCGGCCCUGGAACUUGAUUGAAGGAGCAAUGACACAAGGCCCAUGACAUGACUUAGAGGGGUCCAAUUUUUUUAGAAAAAUAUAUAGGUAUAUAGUAAUUAAAUAAUCUAUAUUAUCUUCAUAAAUAGAUUAAAAUUAUUUUUUGAUUUUAUAUUAUUUAAAUUAAAAUAUGACAAGUGAUUAAAAAGCAUUUUUCUUUUAGUUAUUUUUUUCUUCUAUUGGUUUUAUUCAAAAUCCAAUGUUAAAUCAAUUUCUAAUUAAUGGUGACAUAUCAACAUGUAAUAGAUUUUUAAUAACAGACGUGUUGUUUUUUUUUCCAACAAAAUGAUGAACAUAAAUAUACCUAAGUUUUAAUUCAAAAUAAUGAUAUUUUUAUAUAAUAGGUGAUAGGGAUAGAGCAAAACACUUUUUUUAGAAGCCACAUAUAAAAUAAAUUAUAAUUUUAAAACUAAUAUAUUAAAUUUAACCAACAACUAAAAUAAUCAUAAUAAUUGGUCACAUACCAUAAAAAUCAUAUUUAUAUAAAUCAAACAAAAGAUACAAGACUAUAGAAUUGUAUUUGAAGAAAAUAUAUUUAGUUUAUAAAAUUCAUAAUAACCAUUCUAAUGAUAGAAAAUAUUUAUUUUAUUUAGAUAUCAUGGUUAAAAUUUUAAAAGUAUAAUUUGAAGAAAAUAUAUUUUAUUAAAAAGAAAUUUAUUUUUUAAAUUAAGAAAAUAAGAAUAAUAUAUUCUAUGCUUCAAACAAUGAAAUAAUAUUUCUUUAUUUUUCAUUUAAAAUAUUUAGGAAAAAAUAGACAGACCUUAAAUAUUAUUGAAAAUGAUGGUUGUAUAUUAUUUGGGAGGUGUAUCAUCUUCGGUGGAGAACAUAUGAAGAGGAGAGACAGACAAUGUAAAAUCUGAUAUCAAAAUGUGAUAAAAAAGAAAGGAAAAAAUUAGAGAAGUUAUGGCAAAAAAUUGUAUAAUAUCAACAUAAAAAAAUUAUAUAUGUAUAUUUGCUUUCUUUUAGGGAUGUCUUUAUAUACAAAUGUUUGUGUAUGAAUAAUUUUUUUUUUUGAAUUUGUAAAUUAAAAGAUAGAUGAUAAUAUGAGUAAAUUGAAUAAAAAAUGAUAUAUAAUUAUUUUUUUAGAUUUAUUAAAAUAAUGUUAUUUACUUAAUGUAAUAAAAUAUACUAUUUUAAUAAAAUUACGUAUUUAUUUUUUAUGGAAUAUAUAUUUAUAUUUUGUAAUAUUUAUAUAUAGUAAGCGUUCCUUUUUUAUUAUUCUGUCUUGCACCUUAAAAUGUCAAAAUCGACCCCGUGCAUACUUGUAACCAUUUUGCCACUUAGUGUAUUUUUUUUUUUUCUUUUCGUAUCUCUUGCACCGUGGCACAUAAGAAAUAAAUAAAUAAUAAACAAAGUUAUUCCACAAUACACAUCUAUUACUUUGUUGUGUAAACCGUAUUGCACAUUGGUUUAACUAUUUAAUUUUAUUGUGAAGAGAAGUAGUACAUGAUGUACAUUGGAUAUUAAGGUUUAUGGCAACACUGCAACAGGCUUUCCGAUUUUCGAAGUUCAAUAAUUUCCAUACAAAUAUAUUUAAUUAUAAAUACACUAUUGGGAAUCUAUAAUGGUACAUUAUUAAACAUAAACCUAUAAUCGUGCGCGUGCAUUCAAAAUGACUUUGAGCGUAAUUUUCAUUUAUUUAGUUUUAAAGCUCCUUUAAAAUUAAAAUUAUUCGAUAAUUUUUUUAUAAAAAAAUUAUUAUAAACUAACUGUCACAUUCAAUAGACGAAUAUGUUUUUAAAAAUAAAAAAUAUUACUUUGUAAAAUUAAUUUAAUCAACAUAACUUUAUUUAAUGACAAUAAAAAUACAUAAAAUGAGCAUUACCGUUCGACUAAUCAAAUUCAUUUCAAACAAAUAUUCUUUAUUGUCAUUCUUUUCUAUAACAAAUAUUUUCUAGGUAACUUCUGACAAAAUAAUCUCUCCCUCAUAUUGAUAAACUCAAGUAUUAUUUGAUCAUAAAAUUAUUAUUCAUUUUCUCAAACAAAAAAGGUUUGAUGGAUUACAAGUAGUCUAUUCACAGAGUGAGUCUAUGAAAUUACAAUACAAAAACAAGUAACUUUAAUUAGCACAACAAAGGAACAAAGGAGUGUUCUUUUCUUUUUGUUUCAAAGCAUAAGUCCAAUGAGUAUAAGGGUGUCCCUGUUCUAUUGCUUGAAUGCUUGUUAAUUUCUUUAACUUGUCUCACAAUUCUUCAACGCUUCAAUCUUGAAAUAUAUAAAAUUCAUCUGAGGGGACCAUUGUGAGUGAGAACCCAUUGAUAUUUUCCUAUUAUGAAACAUGACACAUGCUACUUUUGAUGCGUCCAUUUCCGGUGAAGAGAGAGAAGUGAGAAGGUAUAGUCAUUUUUCUGAGUAACGUUUCCUUAUCUUCACAACUUAUACAAAAAUGAUUUCAAGUAGAGGAUAUUCUCAUCGGUGGUCAUGUAUAUACUGUCUCAAGGCAAAUACUUGAAAUUUAAAUGUUAAGGUAUUUCAAAAGGUAGCAGAAAUAUUAGAUGAAAUUCUUAGAAGCUAUCAACAUAGAUAAAUUAGCACCUUUGGUGUACAACUUUUGGAUGCAAAAAAAAUCAAGUGAAAGUAGAAAUAAUAAGUGUAAGUUUUCUUAGUGUUUGGACGAAAGAAACAUAGCACAUAGGACCCUAGAUAAAAACAUUGGACCCAAUUUAGUUACAACAAGUUGGACACUAUAUAUAAUUUGCAAAAAUAUUGGUCCGAGUCGUCCAGUUUUUUCACUUUGGACACAUGUUCGAUUAAAACAUAUUUUUCUUAUAAGGUAAGGAAUACAAUACUUAUACCGCCAUUGAAGGUAAGAAAACCUAUGACACUUAAUAAAUUUCAUCCGUCAUCAAAGUUUAAUAUUUUUAUUGUCAUUAAAAUUAUGAUAUUUUGAGGUGUUAGAUAUUUUUUAUGUCUUUAGUUCUAAAAGGUCUAACGAUAAUAAAGAUAUUAAACUUUGAUCGAUGGACUAAUUAGAUUUAUUAAGUGUUAUAGGUUAACAAUCAUCCAAUGAUUACAUAGAUAUUGUAUUUCAUACCUUAGACCCAAAAAUUGUUUUAAUUUAAUGUGUUGAAGGUGACGAAAUUGGACUCAAUCCAAUGUUUUCAAACAUUAUUAUAAGUUUUACUAAUAUGUUUUUGUACCUUAAACAUUUGCAUUUUCUAUUUUUAUUCUCUUAACUAAAUAUCCCAUCCUUAAACAUUUUUCCUACUGUAAAAUGUUUUAGUUAAAUGAUGAUAUGAGUUAAUUGUGACGAUAAAAUUUAUUUUUGUCCUUCAACUAUUCGUAUUUUUGUUUUAACUCCUUAAUAUUUACCGCACACUAACAUAAUAAUCUCUAAAUUUUAUAGCGUACUAUCAUUAUUAUAUGGUCCCAGUAAAAAAAAAUAAUCAUUAUCACGUGGUCCAUAACGAAGCUAACGGCAUAGACUUAUAUAACUAACCGAUUUCAAUUUUACAUUUAUCUAAAUCCAAAAGAAUAGCUACUAGUAUAAUAACUUCUUAUAAAUUCAAGGAUUUUUUUGAAGUGAUUAAAACCAGAGGAAUUAAUAGAGAUAUAUCCUUUAACCUCUUAUAAUUAGUAUCGUUAAACUUUAACCUCUUAUAACCAAAAGCUUUUUGUUAAUACUUAAUAGACGAAUUAAUACAAGAUCGUUUUCAGUUAAUUGUUCAUAUAAAAAUAAAAGUAUACGCAUUCAUUUGACUAUUAUAUUCAGUCCAAUCUUUUGGGUUGUUAUGGAUGUCUUUUUGCGGUUGCUUUCAAGAUAGGCAAUAUAUAUGCAUGCAGUCAAUCUCAUGAACUAUGGAGUAUAUUGUAAUCAGGAAUCAUGGACAGGUGGAACAUUAAUUUCAGUACCUACAUUACUUUUUUGUUCUCAACAAUUUGUUUACAUCUGCGUCAUAAAAUCUUAAGGGUUGAAAGAGAAACCACAGAAGCUACUUCGGAGCUAGCCUACAAAAGAAACCUGCACACUGAAGCCCAGAAAACUCCGUAAUUUAUUGCCCUGCGUUGAUUUACUUAAUGUUCUACGUUUAUAUAUAUAUAUCCGAGAUCACAGCUUAAUUAGACACUCCUUUCCAGUUGAAUAUACUAUAUAUAAUUAUUGACUUGAAGUUUUCUUAAAGAUAAACGCAAUCCAAAUUAGCCUGUGACCGCGACAGCUAAUCACUACUAAAAGAAAAUUAAUGAUUUCCACGGGUUUGGGGCAAUGGCAUGGUCACAUGGAAAUUCUUCUCCCAAGCUUUUUAAUUUAUAUAUACUACUAUAAUAUAAUAGCUAGCAAUCAUAGAAGCAUUUACAGAUUAGAGAGUCACGGACUUCGCUUAACAAAAGUGGGCUCCCCUACAAGCUCGCAAUGUCAAACGGUUAAUUAGGAAUUGAAUAUGAAACACCUGUCUACUCUCCUGGCUAUCUAUCAUGACUUGGAUGAUAGUUAGUAUUCCCCAGUCCCCGCCAUUUAUAUAGUCAAGGAUAGAAAAUGAUGUAAUUCUUUAGGAUAACAAAAUUGAAAAUAAUUUUUUUAAGAUUUAAAUAUCUUUUUAAUACCUAUAAAAUAGGCGAUUUUACUUUUACUACUUAAAUCAUCAUUUUUUUCAAUUUCAGUACCUUACAUAUUUUUUGUGUUUGAUUUUAUUAUUUUUAAUUUAGUUAGAAUUUGUGAUCCUCUCCAUUAAUGGUAAAGUAUAGAAAAUGAUGCUAUUUUUUAGAUACUAAAAAAAUUGAAAAUGUUUUUUCUUAAUUUUUAAAGAAAUGAGAUGUUUUUCGACAAAAAAAAAAAAGCUUUCAUUAGCGACAAUUUUUGUUGGAAAAGUGUUGUGCAUGAUUCAUGUUAUGGGCGGACAUGACUCAUAUGUUACGUGCAGGUUGAUGUUGAAGCAUAAUGGGAUGAAAGCAUAUUUGUUCUUUGUGCUUGACCCACCUAUUAUUGGGUUACCACGAUGAGGGUUGGGGAUACGGGGGCGUAGUCCUCCGACCUCCACAGUACAAUAGAUCGGUGAUAUUGUAAUUAUGUAUCGUGGAUUAAUCUUUAUAAACUGAUAUAAUCCUAUUUGUCAAAUAAAUAAUAUAUAUAGAAAUAACACUCCGUUUUUUAGUAUUGUAUAUACUUGUCAAACUUUGUUAAAUCUUUCAUUUUUGUGUGUGUUUACUUUGUUUUUAGAAUUCUGAUUCCUAUUAAUAUUGCUGACAAAAAGUCAUAACUUAUAUGUACCUAUUUUCUGGUUGUGGAUAAUUUGUAAGAGUAAUGAUAUAUAAGUCAUCAUUAAUUUUAAAUGCAUUGUUAAUAUAUACUUCUUAUUUCUCUUGAUCUCUCUCUUUUUAUUACAUCAUUAAUCUUAUCAUACCUAUAUUAUUUCUUCUCUUUUCUUCUCUCUUCAGGUGUUGAAUAAGUUCUUGAGUGUACAUUAAAUAUUUUUCAAUUAGCAAUAGUAUUUAUCAUUAACUUUUGUUGUUACUGGUUACUGACGGUAAAGUAGCAGGUAAUUACUGACAACUUUUUCCUUUAGCUGUAAAAAAUAAUUACCAAUGCCCUUAUUUUUCUUUUCUUUUCUUUUCCACUGAUAAAUGUUCAUCGAUAAGCCCUUAGAAAAGGUGUUUUCACGAAUGGCUCUUGGCCUUAGGUAAUAUCCUUUUUCUUGUUGUGUAAUUAAACACACACGGAGAAGAUAUCGAUUAAAUUACUAUGAGAGUAAUUCUUGAUAUUACUCAUUUCAUAAACAUACUUAAUAUGCUUCAAACAAUCUCGCACUUCUUGUGCAGUUUAAUUAUAUAUAUUAAAUUUGUUGUUUAGCUGACAAAAAGAACUUAAUUAAUAAGAACUUUAAAUUUAACAAUUAAUUUAAUAAAAUUGAAUACAUGCAAAAAAUAAUUGAAGGAGUAACUUAACCAAAAGUUACUUCUGAGUAACAUGAUUCUAAGAGAGAAUUUUAAGAUAGAAAUGUUAAAUGGAAAAUUAUGAGUAUUAUAAUUUAAUUCCUUUCAGACACACAUAUGUAUGAUAGAGUAGUUUCCAGCAAAAAAAAAAACACAUAUAUAGAGUAUAGAGAUGUUAUUAACAAAUCUUUUUUAAUACACUCUUUAUUAUUAUUAUUUAAAUUUUUCAAAAUUACCCAUAAAAUUAUAAAUUUUAUAUCUUAUUUAAUAAUUUCUACUCAUAAUUUUAUAAUUUCUAAUAAAUUUUAACCACCAUUUCUCCUUCUCAUAAUAUUAUGAUACUGGCGUCCAAAAUACCUAUUUAUAAUGGGGCUGCUAUAUUCAAAGUGAAAAAGUAGUGAUUGAAAAAUCGGCGAUUCAAAUGAACUUCCGGUGCAAUCGAGUCGUAGGUAGGUGCAAUACUUUUCUACAAUCCACUAAUUGAUGGGAGCCCUCAUCACCACACACAAUCAUCCAAAACCUAUUUCAAGGAUUUUAUCUGCCAACUAAUUAUACUCAUUCAUUUAGUACAUGGAUGCUUUAUUAAAUUCAUUUCUCCUCUCCCAAACCCGUUUAACAUUUUUUUUGUUCUUAAACAAUUAACCCCACUUGGCAUUCCAAAACACUAUAUAAACCACCAUUCCCUUCAAAUAACUCCCAUCCCUAUAACCACUCUUCUCUUAAGCUCUAGUAGUUAAGAAACAUUAGUUAAAGAAGAUAAGAAACAUUACACCUAGCUACUAGAGUUUAACAUGGCUUCCAAAACUUGCUCCUCCCUUGCUCUUUUCCUCACACUCAACCUCGUUUUCUUCUCACUUGUCUCUGCAUGUGGUUAUACACCAUGCCCUGGUCCAAACCCAAAGCCAAGGCCCAACCCCAACCCUAACCCUAACCCCAGCCGAAGUGGCUCGUGCCCCCGUGAUGCACUCAAACUAGGUGUAUGCGCCAAUGUGCUAAACUUGGUGAAUGCCACUUUGGGUCAACCACCAGUUACCCCUUGCUGCACCCUUCUCGAUGGCCUCGUUGACCUUGAGGCUGCAGUGUGCCUUUGCACUGCCCUCAAAGCAAACAUUUUGGGCAUCAACCUCAACCUUCCAAUCUCACUCAGCUUGCUUCUCAACGUUUGCUCAAGGAAAGUCCCACGUAAUUUCCAAUGUGCUUAAUCGUGGCCCAUGAAACAAGUUGCUUCGUGUUUCCUAGUUGUGGCUUUCCGUUGUUUUUUUUUUCAAAUUCCAUUUAUC